GCAUUUGCCAUCAUUUCAAAAACCAGUCUCUGCAAGGCAUGAGAUUUGCAUACUAAUCGAUGUUAAGGAAUUUCCUGAUGAUGACUAUUGUUCCUCAAGGACAUUGUGUUUUUCUGACACGGAUGGUUACAGAUGGUCCCACAGCAAGACCACCACAGGACAUAGCUGAGCUAAUGUGUGAAAACACAUUUUAAAAAAUGGUGAUAAAGACCAAGGGAAAGGAACAGCAAGAUCCGAGAACAGGUCCACGAUGGAGCAGUCACACCUGAAGGAAAUGAAACCUGUGGAGGACUCAUGUUGGAGCAGAGGAAACAAGAAGGAAGGAGCUGCAGGAAAGAAUAGUGAGAAACGAGUGUCAGAGAGAACAUGCUGUGCCCUGACCCCAACCUACUGCACUGCCUAUUGCCUCACCAAAGAGACUAAGCAUAACCUACAGCAAUAAGGACAGGUGUGGAGACUGGGAAUGGGGAAGGAAGAUGCCUGAAGCACAGCUGAGACUAGGAAAGAAGCAGUAUUGGAUAAGGAAAAUGGAAUGUGUUAGAUCACGCAUAACAGAACCAAAGAAGGAAAGUAUAAAAUCUCAGGUUUAGGAACACCAGGGAGAGCCAAAGGUGAAGGUGGUGCAGAGAAGCCAUCCACCAGUCUGGACUUGGACAAGAAAGUCUUCUCUCUGGGGUAAUUGGUUGAACAGGAAGGCAAAUCGUGUUUGCAACCAACCACUGAAAACCAAUUGUGUUCUUAGAAUGAAAAGUUCUACAAAAUACCCAGGCUAUUAGGCCUAUUCACUCUCUUUGCUGGCAUUGUUUCUCUGGAUGUUGAGUUGGAAAUAUCUCUGGAACUGAACAAUUUUUAAUUGUGCUAGUGUUGAAUGCUAUGCGUAUUUCAAAAUCUUUUAAGCAUGACCUUUUACAACUCUGACCUUAACUAUGCCAUUUUGAGAUCAAGAGCUGUGCAGAAACAUUUUGCCUCAAGUCAUAUAACGGCUGCCAGAGCUCCCAGGCAGAAAUUGGAGAAAACGAAUCUUCAAAGUUCCUUAGUUCUGUAUCACUUGUAAGGAAAAGAAACCUGUGAACUGCUCAGUGACAAUCUUAGGUCAAAAAUCUGAAAUUAAGAGACUGGGGAAGAAAAAAGAAAACAGAAAUUCUUUUGGUCACUUUCUGCAGAGCUGCUUUCCAGAUGGGUGAUCCCCAUUAUGAACUGGUGCCUGGGGUUGUGCAGGACUUUUCACUUCUACUUGUUGAACUUCAUGAAGUUCCUGUCAGCCUGUUUCUCCAGCCUCUUAAGGUCAUUCUGGCUGUGACAACUGUGUGGUCUAUCAGUCAUUUCUCUCAGUUUUGCACCUUCUGCACACUUGCUGAGGAUCCACGCUGUCCCACCAUCCAUUAAAGAAGACAUUGAAUAGGAUCAGACACAGUAUGACCCCUAGACUGCAAUCCUAGUUGCUGGGAAUGAUGCUUCAUACUAGUAGACAACUACACAUCAUAUAUUUGCACUGAAAAUACUGGCAGGAGAGAGGCAUCCAGUGUGGCUGUCAUCUGGAAAGAAUCUGAAACCAAGCUAAUGUGCUGGUAAUGUAUUAGCCACUGUGAGUUUUCGCCUGAAAUUAAACUUGAGGUUUUUAUUAAGUUCUUUAUAGCUGUUUAAAUGUUUUUUCCUUGUGUGUUGUUGUACUGCUCUGAAUUGUAGCUAACGUGAAAGUGCUGUCAGAAAGGACAGACUGAUUUUUUGUUCUUGGCUUGCCUAAGGACAGCUCAUCUUGGAAAUGCAGUUUGACAGUCAGUCCUGUUAGGUAAAUCACAUACAUGACAAAAGUUUUUCUUUUUUGGACAGGUGUUCAUUGGAUCUAUCAACAUUUUUCUCUACUUAUAUGGCCUAAAAGCUGCAUGGUAUUUGAAUUCUAAUUUGGAUAUCAGUACAAAUAGAAAAUAAUGCUUCUAAAAGUGUUUCUUAAUUUUCAUAUGCAUUUAAUUUGGCAAAAAAAACCUAAAAAAUCCCACUAAACAAACAAACGAACAAACAAAAAGAGAAAUUAACAAAAGAUGAAUACAUGUAAAUAAUUAUAGUUUCAUCCAAAGAAAUGUGAGAAGACAUCCAAAGGAUGAAAUGAUGACACUGUUUUUUUAAUUUUUUGGUCAACCUUGGGAGUUUGAAACAGCUUUUAACCCAACAAAUUGGUUUUGUGUUUAUUAUUGGUGCAAUGUAUUGUAAAGAAGUUUUUAAAACCUUAUAGUCUCUGUGAUGUGUUUAAUUAUUAUAGAAUGGAGCAGGAAAGUGCUUUCACAGAGCAAUAAAGAACACUUCAUUUUUUGUGCUGAUUUUUCUUAUGUGUCUUUUUUUUGACAGUUUAAGAUUUCUUUUUUUAUUGCAUACUAGCAAAGAUGUGAAAAAUUUGAAAUAGUGUCAAGAAACCUGUUGGUUAACCAUUUCAUGCUUUUAGUCUUUUCUUGUUUAGCUUUUCUUGGUUUUGUCUUCUUUCACAGAGAACUGAUACUUGGGAAAAAAUUCAUACUUCUUCAGGUGAAAAUUUUGCAUUCUAUUUUCUCACUUCAAUUGGAAUUGGACUUUCAGCUUUGUUACUACAGAAGAAAAUGUUUUGCAUGAAAAUGGUUUGUGGGUUUGUAUGAUCUUGAUGUAGCAAUACCUUUUUAUGUAAGCCUUCAUUCAGUCACUUAAGUUCAUUGUUGCUGGAGUUCUGUUGUGGUUCUGGCAGCACUGCUCACUUUAUGUAAAUAGUCUGGCUCCCUCUUUUUCACUGUCUAGAUAACUGCCUGUCUAUUUUUCUGUGACUACUUCUUAUACGCUCAGCACACUCAGCACCAUGAUACAGGAAUCUAUCCAGAACAUUGCUUUUUGACUGUAACUGCCACAGACUAGGCAAGUAUGUGCAGAGCUCCUAGGUGCAGAAACAGAGUAUUUUGAUGUAUUCCUGAUCAAAAGAUACAAAAAAGCUUUUAUUUACAGCAGAUAGUGUACAAACAGUUUUUAUUUAUGCAGGUAAAGCUGUUGGUGAAGAAAAUUAGGUGGCUAUUUUCUGCCUGAAAGGAGUAGCAAAAUAUUUACAACCUUGUCCAGCCUCUCACUGUGAGAUUUACUGAAGAAAAUGCUAACAGCUGUCAGAGAAUAGGCAGAGCCUACUCCCUAUCAGAAGUCAAAAUUUUCGGUGUUAGGCUUAGGAAAGGGGAAAAUCUGGCUGCUCUGCUUCCUGGACUAGAUUUGAUAUGAACAAUUAUCAUAAUUUCAUUCUCUUGGCCUCAUCUGCAGCCCAUUGCCAUCAAUUCAAUGUGGUAAGGUCAGACUGUGCUGAUGAGUUUGUCCUCUUUUAGAUGCUCUUGCAACCAAUUUCAGUUACCAGCACUGCUUCCCUAGCUUACCAUGCCUUCACAAAAAAUAACUAGCCCAGAGAACAGAAGAUGCCAAGACAUGACAGUCAUCACUUUUGAAUUAAAACAGUGUGAGCACUUGAGGAUUUGAGAAAAAUUCAUGUGUUCAUCUGGCAUCUUCUGUGUUUAUUAAACCCUUUGCAAUGUAAGUUAAAAGUGCAUCUGAAAUAGAAGGCUGCUGAGUUUGGCAAAAUAUUACAGAAACAUUAAAAACUAAAAUUAGUCAGAAAAAGAAAUAAUGUUGUAAGUAUUCAUGCUUUGGAUAAUUACAUGUUUGUUCUGCAUAUGGCAUUUAAAAAAAACAUUCAUUUUUAGCAAUCCAACAAACACUGGCUCAGUGAUCUGGUCCUUUCUGCAUGUUCAUGUAGAUAAGUGUUUAGUGUCUGUAGAUUAGCCCAUCUUUCUCUUUCUAGUAGCAAUUACAAAUUUAUAUAUCAUAUAAUAAUUAUUCAAUUAAUUUUGUCUGAUACUGGAGAACACCUUGCAGACUAAUUCCCUUUCCCUUAAUUAAAAAGUUUUUCUUUGUGAAAGCAUAUAUGGGUACUUUUUCUUUCUGUGCAUUCUCAGUCAAGCUGUAAGUUUUCUAUAGACAUUAGUUUCUUAACUUUGAGGGACUCUGACUUGCCUUAUUAAAGCACUUUGUUGUCAAGAGAAAUAUGGCUUUUUUUAGUAUGUUUCUAUGUAGGGCUGUAUAAAACUCUGAGAAGCUAAAUGUUUUACAUGAGAUUGAAGCCAGCACUGAAUAUGCUCCAAAGAGCUAUGUUCUCUAUUCCAAACAAUCUCUUUUGCUCAGAACUGUUUAUUUUUAUCCUUUGUUUUCUUCUGCUCUUUGCUUGUUUUCUCAUUCUGGGACUUUUUUUUUUUUUUUUACGUUUCAUUAGUAUUACCUACUUUCAUUAGUAUUAUAUAAAUGUAAAAUAUAACCACAAAUAUAAAUAAAAUCUAUAUGUGAAUUGUCUGUAUAAGAUAUAGGCUUCUGUGAAUGAAUAGUUUUGGAUUUUUUUUUUCAUGAUGUUUGAUUGUUUAAUUGAAUUAUGUUCCCUUAAACCACUCAGGCAUUUUCUAACAAAGGGAAUAGAUUUCCUCAAGGGACAAAAUAACCGUAUGGCUUUUGCUAAAUUCAAAGGUCUGCUGGUACCCUGACUUCAGAUGUCUUCUUUCUCUCUUGGGCUGUAAACCAAAGUCUCCUGCCACCUGAGGAAGUUCACAACACAGAGAAUUGCAAUGUGUUUGGGAAAACGGCCGUCACUUUCUUUUCUUAACUUAGUCAUACCUGCUCUGAAAUGCUGACUUAUUUAUUAGAGCUGGGACUCCCAGACAGUACGGUAACCAUCAUUCCUUGGAAUAAUCCUUUCUCUCCUUCUCCCAAUUAAUCACUGAUAUUGUUGAAAUUUUAAAUCCUAACAGAUAUUUGCUUUUAUCAGCCUGCUCCUUGAAAGGUUGCUAUUUCCAAAACUUUAACUGUGGCUUUCGUUCUGUGGAAUUGAAAGCUACUAUGAUUCAAAAUAUUUCUCUCUCAUGUAAUAAGUAGAAAAUACUUUGGGUCGUGCGUUUUAUUAAAAAUAAGGAAAAUUAUCCUUAGAGAUUUUAAAGCAUGAUAAGUUGUCUUUAUGGUGUCUUUUAUCCUGGAGGUUGGCUCUAGCAUCUGGCUGCUAUUGGGUAAAGAGCUAAAUAAAUUCUGAUUUGAUAUGCAGGAGCUACAUGACACAUAAUGCUUCUUGCUUUUUUUAAUUAAAGCAAUAAUUUUGUCUUUUUGAAACAGAUUUCAGAGGAGUAAAACAA